rnacentral:rRNA from 1 species
CCCUGAUGUCACACUGCCAAGAAAAGCUUCUAGUGAGAAAGUAACUGCCCGUACCGCAAACCGACACAGGUAGUUGAGGAGAGAAUCCUAAGGUGUGCGAGAGAACUCUCGUUAAGGAACUCGGCAAAAUGACCCCGUAACUUCGGGAGAAGGGGUGCUGACCGCAAGGUCAGCCGCAGUGAAUAGGCCCAAGCGACUGUUUAUCAAAAACACAGGUCUCUGCAAAAUCGUAAGAUGACGUAUAGGGGCUGACGCCUGCCCGGUGCUGGAAGGUUAAGAGGAGAGGUUAGCGCAAGCGAAGCUUUGAAUUGAAGCCCCAGUAAACGGCGGCCGUAACUAUAACGGUCCUAAGGUAGCGAAAUUCCUUGUCGGGUAAGUUCCGACCCGCACGAAAGGCGUAACGAUUUGGGCACUGUCUCAACGAGAGACUCGGUGAAAUUAUAGUACCAGUGAAGAUGCUGGUUACCCGCGACAGGACGGAAAGACCCCAUGGAGCUUUACUGCAGUUUGAUAUUGCGUGUUUGUAUCACAUGUACAGGAUAGGUAGGAGCCGAAGAUACCGGGACGCCAGUCUCGGAGGAGGCAACGGUGGGAUACUACCCUUGUGAUAUGACCACUCUAACCCGCUGCUCUUAGCGAGCAGGGAGACAGUGUCAGACGGGCAGUUUGACUGGGGCGGUCGCCUCCAAAAAUGUAACGGAGGCGCCCAAAGGUUCCCUCAGAAUGGUUGGAAAUCAUUCGUAGAGUGUAAAGGCAGAAGGGAGCUUGACUGCGAGACCUACAAGUCGAGCAGGGACGAAAGUCGGGCUUAGUGAUCCGGUGGUUCCGCAUGGAAGGGCCAUCGCUCAACGGAUAAAAGCUACCCUGGGGAUAACAGGCUUAUCUCCCCCAAGAGUUCACAUCGACGGGGAGGUUUGGCACCUCGAUGUCGGCUCAUCGCAUCCUGGGGCUGUAGUCGGUCCCAAGGGUUGGGCUGUUCGCCCAUUAAAGCGGUACGCGAGCUGGGUUCAGAACGUCGUGAGACAGUUCGGUCCCUAUCCGUCGCGGGCGUUGGAAAUUUGAGAGGAGCUGUCCUUAGUACGAGAGGACCGGGAUGGACACACCGCUGGUGUACCAGUUGUUCUGCCAAGAGCAUCGCUGGGUAGCUAUGUGUGGACGGGAUAAACGCUGAAAGCAUCUAAGCGUGAAGCCCCCCCCAAGAUGAGAUUUCCCAUCACUUUAAGUGAGUAAGACCCCUGAGAGAUGAUCAGGUAGAUAGGUUGGGAGUGGAAGUACAGCGAUGUAUGGAGCGGACCAAUACUAAUCGGUCGAGGACUUAACC